UUUCUUGUUUUUUAUUUUUUAGAAGUAAAAGUCGUAACAAGGUUUCCGUAGGUGAACCUGCGGAAGGAUCAUUAUUGAAUAAAUUUGGCUGGGCUGUUGUUGGCUCCUAGGAGCAUGUGCACGCCUAGCUCCAUUUUUACCACCUGUGCACCUUUUGUAGACCUGGAUAUCUUUCGAGGAAACUCGGUUUGAGGACUGCUGAGCGAAAGCCCUAGCUUUCCUUACAUUUCCGGUCUAUGUCUUUACAUACCCCAUAUGAAUGUAACAGAAUGUUGUUUACUGGCCUUUGUGCCUUUAAUCAAAUACAACUUUCAGCAACGGAUCUCUUGGCUCUCGCAUCGAUGAAGAACGCAGCGAAAUGCGAUAAGUAAUGUGAAUUGCAGAAUUCAGUGAAUCAUCGAAUCUUUGAACGCACCUGGCGCUCCCUGGUAUUCCGGGGAGCAUGUCUGUUUGAGUGUCAUUAAAUUCUCAACCUUUCCAACUUUUGCGAGUUUGGUUAGGCUUGGAUGUGGGGGGUUGCGGGCUUCACAGAAGUUGGCUCCUCUGAAAUGCAUUAGUGAAACCUUUGUUGAUCAUCUCUUGGUGUGAUAAUUAUCUACGCCAUUAGAGUGUCAGCCUCAACUAGUUGAGAGGUUUUUGCUUCUAAUCGUCCUCCAAGGACAACUUCUUUACUUUUUGACCUCAAAUCAGAUAAGACUACCCGCUGAACUUAAGCAUAUCUAAAAACCGGGAAAGAAA
rnacentral:rRNA from 1 species